rnacentral:rRNA from 1 species
AACGAACGCUGGCGGCAUGCCUAACACAUGCAAGUCGAACGAGACCUUCGGGUCUAGUGGCGCACGGGUGCGUAACGCCUGGUAACCUGCCCUUAGGUUCGGAAUAACUCCCCGAAAGGUGUGCUAAUACCGGAUAAUGUCUUCGGACCAAAGAUUUAUCGCCUUUGGAUGGGCCCGCGUUGGAUUAGCUAGUUGGUAGGGUAAAAGCCUACCAAGGCGACGAUCCAUAGCUGGUCUGAGAGGAUGAUCAGCCACACUGGGACUGAGACACGGCCCAGACUCCGACGGGAGGCAGCGGUGGGGAAUAUUGGACAAUGGGCGAAAGCCUGAUCCAGCAAUGCCGCGUGAGUGAUGAAGGACUUAGGGUUGUAAAGCUCUUUUACCCGGGAUGAUAAUGACAGUACCGGGAGAAUAAGCUCCGGCUAACUCCGUG